UUCCUCCUACAUCCACACCAACUCUUUCCACCAACUCUUUCAAUUGGCAUGCCAUUGUUGACUAAACAUAAACCAACACCUUCAUAUAUAUAUAUAUAUAUAUAUAUAAUUUCAGAAAAAGUAACAAAUUCAUUCUUAAUGUUUUCCUCAACAACUAAUACACUUAUGUGCAGGUUAUAUUUGUUGUUUAGUACUGCUCCAUUCAAGAUAGAACUCACUGGCAAUGAGUGCCCACGCCUUAGUGCAUUCCCUACACCGAAACAUAGCUUAAGCGAGGCGAAACACCAUCAGUAGCAUUUAUGAGCUUCGGGGCUUAAGCGCGCCUUAAAUGAGCCUUUGACAACACUGGAGAGUACAAGAGACUACUUCCAGAAUGCAAAACCUAAGAAAUAAAACUUAUUCCUUUAAACAUUUGUUAAUACUACUGAAAUUCCGAAUAAAGAAAAAUUAUACAGAACUUUGGCAGAGUGCAUACCUUGGUGAAAACGCGAAGCAAGAGUGGACAAGUCUGGUGUUGGGAUAGAAACCAAAAAAAAAAAAAAAAGCAAAAGAUUUCUUUAGUAACUAAUAGUAUGCAAAAAAAGAGAGGAUGUUUUUCAAACAUUGAACAGCACAUAGGAAUAAGAUGCCGAUUAUGCUAGCAUAUUAAUACAAGAAGAAAUAUUAGAUUUAGAGGUCCUCUAAAAUAAAAUUUAACGUAUAAUUAAGGAUACCAAAAAAGAAGAAGCAUUAUUUCUAAAACCUAGAGAUAAUACAACGUAACCUUGAAAGUUUUACAGGGAAAAGGAGAGGGAGACCUUUUCACGGUCAACGGGUUGGACCCGAGGGCCCAUUCUGAGGGGAGGAGGACCCGGUGGGACUCUCGCCGGAGGAGGAGGCAACGGUCUUCCCCUUCUCUGCACUUCCGCCAUUGCUCUCCGCUUUCUUGAUCUGUUUUACUGCACCAGAAGCAAUUUUACUCGUUUUUGCUUUUCGGGCCACUCUGUUACUCUCAUCCUAUGUUUAUGGGC
rnacentral:lncRNA from 1 species